ensembl:lncRNA
AAUCCGUGGCUCCACAGGUGACCUGACAGCACCGUGGACCUCUGCAUCCUCUCCUUGUCAUCCUUCUGGAUUUAACUGCUGUCCCGUGAGGCGCAAUGUCUUUGGGUAUCUCAUCAUGGCUGCUCCAGGAAAGCACAGCCGCUGCUCCUUACCUUGGACGAGGUUGCCCCUCCUGACCUUGGAUGUGGGGUAGCUCGUCUCGGCUGCUCCUGCGCUGUUGCAGCCUGGUGCUCUCGGUUGCCACCCCUAACCCUGGGCUUCUGCGUGG